UACGUAGGGAGCAAGCGUUGUCCGGAAUCAUUGGGCGUAAAGCGCGCGUAGGUGGCUUCGUAAGUCCGUUGUGAAAGUCAAAGGCUCAACCUUUGAAAGCCGAUGGAUACUGUGGAGCUAGAGUACGGAAGAGGCGAGUGGAAUUCCUGGUAUAGCGGUGGAAUGCGCAGAUAUCAGGAGGAACACCAAUAGCGAAGGCAGCUCGCUGGGACGUUACUGACACUGAGGCGCGAAAGCGUGGGGAGCGAACAGG
rnacentral:rRNA from 1 species